rnacentral:rRNA from 1 species
UAGGGAAUUUUCGGCAAUGGACGAAAGUCUGACCGAGCAACGCCGCGUGAGGGAAGAAGGUUCUUGGAUCGUAAAACUCUUUUGUUAGAGAAGAACAAGGACGUUAGUAAUUGAACGUCCCCUGACGGUAUCUAACCAGAAAGCUACGGCUAACUACGUGCCAGCAGCCGCGGUAAUACGUAGGUGGCAAGCGUUGUCCGGAUUUAUUGGGCGUAAAGCGAGCGCAGGCGGUUUCUUAAGUCUGAUGUGAAAGCCCCCGGCUCAACCGGGGAGGGUCAUUGGAAACUGGGAGACUUGAGUGCAGAAGGGGAGGGUGGAAUUCCAUGUGUAGCGGUGAAAUGCGUAGAUAUAUGGAGGAACACCAGUGGCGAAGGCGGCUCUCUGGUCUGUAACUGACGCUGAGGCUCGAAAGCGUGGGGAGCAAACAGG